CUCUAAUGUACAAAAUUUCAGCUGUGCCGCGCUAAACGGCUUGUCUUCACAGAAUUGAGGUUCAUAUGAUGCUCAAGAUCCCUCCUGGAAGGUCAAUGACCGUGAGAGCGCAGCUGGGUUCCCCUGCAAGAAUGGCAAGCCAUUGAUGACUGAGUGAGUUGCCGUCCUUGCCUCUUCUUUCUGCUCAAAAACCCUUGCAAGCUUGCACCCUUUGCCAUCUUUGCCUGCCUUGUCGCCAUUGAUCCCGAUUAGCGACAAGAUAGAACUCCUAGCCACCUCAUCCACGUCAUCGAUUCGGAUCGUCUUUGGCACCCACACCUUGCCAUUUCCUUUGGUAUCUCCUUCCUCGUUGCAGUCUCUAGGGCGCUUUCCUGGUGUGAAGCAAUUGGACUUCGUGGAUGCUGGUGAAGCAGUGCUAAGGGUCGAACCUGUCUCGGACGGGGACUGAGGCGGCCAUGGGGCAUUCCAAGCUCCUGGAACCAUGCAGCCCCAGUAGGCAGCAGGUGCUGGGUAGAACGGAAUUGCUAUGCUGCCUGGGGUGUAACAGGCAGGUGGUGGUGCACAGCUAAAUGGCCACAUGGCCACCCCGUUCAUGCAUGGAUGCUGAACAAGUUUUGCAGAUUUCUCUGCUGUAACAUUCUCCUUUUGGUUUGAGUCUUCUGCCUUCGCAGGUCCUUCAGUGCAAGAGCCAACUGAACGUUCAUCGCCGUUCUUGAUCCCCGCUAUUGGGAUGAGCUUCUCCUUCAGGUGCUUCAUCUGCUCUGUGAGGUCUAAGCUGGACAUGUCUGAGCCGAAGCUGAGCACCGUGCCAUUCGUCUUGGCUGCAGUGCAGAGGGGAUCCAUGGGCAAAGCGGCCCUGACCCUCUGAAGGAAGUGGGAAGCAGCUGACGCGCUCUUGCUCUUGCGCCGGCCUGCACCCACAGGGACGUUGCGCAUGGCACCGCCAGCAGUCCAGUACCUCUGGCAGUUCUUGCAGAAGUG
rnacentral:lncRNA from 1 species